ACGCUCGACACCUACGAGAGGCAGCAGUGGGGAAUAUUGCACAAUGGGGGAAACCCUGAUGCAGCGACGCCGCGUGAGCGAAGAAGUAUUUCGGUAUGUAAAGCUCUAUCAGCAGGGAAGAUAAUGACGGUACCUGACUAAGAAGCUCCGGCUAAAUACGUGCCAACAGCCGCGGUAAUCUGAGCGGGCUGGCAAGGC
rnacentral:rRNA from 1 species